rnacentral:misc_RNA from 1 species
UCCCAAGCCUUCUGGCGAUCUCUUAUAAAGAAAGCCCUCCAUAAUAAAUUGAAAAGGGUCCUUUGGGGAAAAGUUUUCCCUUUGCUAAGAUGAAGCCGGGGAAGGUUUUCCGGUUUAUCCCGGAGGGCUUGUAGCUCAGUUGGUUAGAGCGCGCGCUUGAUAAGCGUGAGGUCGGAGGUUCAAGUCCUCCCAGGCCCACCAAUCAUUCUAUCAAUCUAUAAGCGCUUGUGGAAAUUGCUCAUAGAAAACUUUCUUUAUUCAUUUAUGAAAAAUCUCCUUAUAGAGAGAGACGCUUUUCCCUUUGGGUUUGAAAACUCAAAAUUAAAGGUGUUAAAGUGGCUUUAAAGGAAAAGUGACAAAGGAUAAGGAAUAAUGAUUUAAGUUAUCCCUUUUUGGUGAUCUUGAUUUGGGUGUUUUGAAUGCGUUAUGUUUUUUAGGGGGGGCCGUAGCUCAGCUGGGAGAGCACCUGCUUUGCAAGCAGGGGG